rnacentral:rRNA from 2 species
ACGCUGGCGGCGUGCUUAACACAUGCAAGUCGAACGGUGAAGCCCAGCUUGCUGGGUGGAUCAGUGGCGAACGGGUGAGUAACACGUGAGCAACCUGCCCCUGACUCUGGGAUAAGCGCUGGAAACGGCGUCUAAUACUGGAUACGAACCACAGUCGCAUGGCUGGUGGUUGGAAAGAUUUUUUGGUUGGGGAUGGGCUCGCGGCCUAUCAGCUUGUUGGUGAGGUAAUGGCUCACCAAGGCGUCGACGGGUAGCCGGCCUGAGAGGGUGACCGGCCACACUGGGACUGAGACACGGCCCAGACUCCUACGGGAGGCAGCAGUGGGGAAUAUUGCACAAUGGGCGCAAGCCUGAUGCAGCAACGCCGCGUGAGGGAUGACGGCCUUCGGGUUGUAAACCUCUUUUAGCAAGGAA